AUUGAACGCUGGCGGCAUGCCUUACACAUGCAAGUCGAACGGCAGCAUGAUCUAGCUUGCUAGAUUGAUGGCGAGUGGCGAACGGGUGAGUAAUACAUCGGAACGUGCCCUGUAGUGGGGGAUAACUAGUCGAAAGAUUAGCUAAUACCGCAUACGACCUGAGGGUGAAAGUGGGGGACCGCAAGGCCUCAUGCUAUAGGAGCGGCCGAUGUCUGAUUAGCUAGUUGGUGGGGUAAAGGCCCACCAAGGCGACGAUCAGUAGCUGGUCUGAAAGGACGAUCAGCCACACUGGGACUGAGACACGGCCCAGACUCCUACGGGAGGCAGCAGUGGGGAAUUUUGGACAAUGGGCGAAAGCCUGAUCCAGCAAUGCCGCGUGUGUGAAGAAGGCCUUCGGGUUGUAAAGCACUUUUGUCCGGAAAGAAAUGGCUCUGGUUAAUACCUGGGGUCGAUGACGGUACCGGAAGAAUAAGGACCGGCUAACUACGUGCCAGCAGCCGCGGUAAUACGUAGGGUCCAAGCGUUAAUCGGAAUUACUGGGCGUAAAGCGUGCGCAGGCGGUUGUGCAAGACCGAUGUGAAAUCCCCGAGCUUAACUUGGGAAUUGCAUUGGUGACUGCACGGCUAGAGUGUGUCAGAGGGGGGUAGAAUUCCACGUGUAGCAGUGAAAUGCGUAGAGAUGUGGAGGAAUACCGAUGGCGAAGGCAGCCCCCUGGGAUAACACUGACGCUCAUGCACGAAAGCGUGGGGAGCAAACA
rnacentral:rRNA from 1 species